CAGCCGCCACGGGAAUACGGAGGGUGCAAGCGUUAUCCGGAUUCACUGGGUUUAAAGGGUGCGUAGGCGGGCAGGUAAGUCAGUGGUGAAAUCUUCGAGCUUAACUCGGAAACUGCCGUUGAUACUAUCUGUCUUGAAUAACGUUGAGGUGAGCGGAAUAUGUCAUGUAGCGGUGAAAUGCUUAGAUAUGACAUAGAACACCGAUUGCGAAGGCAGCUCACUAAACGCUCAUUGACGCUGAGGCACGAAAGCGUGGGGAUCAAACAGGAUUAGAUACCCGAGUAGUCCCUGUCUCUUAUAC
rnacentral:rRNA from 1 species